rnacentral:rRNA from 1 species
AGAGUUUGAUCAUGGCUCAGAUUGAACGCUGGCGGCAUGCCUUACACAUGCAAGUCGAACGGCAGCGCGGGAGCAAUCCUGGCGGCGAGUGGCGAACGGGUGAGUAAUACAUCGGAACGUGCCCAAUCGUGGGGGAUAACGCAGCGAAAGCUGUGCUAAUACCGCAUACGAUCUACGGAUGAAAGCAGGGGAUCGCAAGACCUUGCGCGAAUGGAGCGGCCGAUGGCAGAUUAGGUAGUUGGUGAGGUAAAGGCUCACCAAGCCUUCGAUCUGUAGCUGGUCUGAGAGGACGACCAGCCACACUGGGACUGAGACACGGCCCAGACUCCUACGGGAGGCAGCAGUGGGGAAUUUUGGACAAUGGGCGAAAGCCUGAUCCAGCCAUGCCGCGUGCAGGAUGAAGGCCUUCGGGUUGUAAACUGCUUUUGUACGGAACGAAACGGUCUUUUCUAAUACAGAAGGCUAAUGACGGUACCGUAAGAAUAAGCACCGGCUAACUACGUGCCAGCAGCCGCGGUAAUACGUAGGGUGCAAGCGUUAAUCGGAAUUACUGGGCGUAAAGCGUGCGCAGGCGGUUAUGUAAGACAGUUGUGAAAUCCCCGGGCUCAACCUGGGAACUGCAUCUGUGACUGCAUAGCUAGAGUACGGUAGAGGGGGAUGGAAUUCCGCGUGUAGCAGUGAAAUGCGUAGAUAUGCGGAGGAACACCGAUGGCGAAGGCAAUCCCCUGGACCUGUACUGACGCUCAUGCACGAAAGCGUGGGGAGCAAACAGGAUUAGAUACCCUGGUAGUCCACGCCCUAAACGAUGUCAACUGGUUGUUGGGUCUUCACUGACUCAGUAACGAAGCUAACGCGUGAAGUUGACCGCCUGGGGAGUACGGCCGCAAGGUUGAAACUCAAAUGAAUUGACGG